CACAUAGCUUUUUUUAAAGCUACUCAACAAUCAGAUAUAUAUUUUAG
rfam:Mus musculus chromosome 8, GRC primary reference assembly.